rnacentral:tRNA from 1 species
AGGGAUGUAGCUCAGCAGUACAGUGCCUGCCUGGCAAGUGGGAGGCCCUGAGUUUAAUUCCCAGUACCCCCC